CGGCGGCGCGCGCGGGCGGGGCGCUCAGAACCUCGGGACCGCCGCGGCCCGGUGCUCCGUUGCGGCUCCGCGUCCGAGCGAGGAGGGGUGUGGGCCGCGGCAGCCGGGCGGGGAGCUCUUCAAGUGGCGCCGAAGCGCCCGGAGCCCGGAAAGCGCAGAAAUGGAGCAAGAGCCACAAAAUGGAGAACCUGCUGAAAUUAAGAUCAUCAAGGAAGCAUACAAGAAAGCCUUUUUAUUUGUUAAUAAAGGACUGAAUACAGAUGAAUUAGGUCAGAAGGAAGAAGCAAAGAGCUACUAUAAGCAAGGAAUAGGACAUCUGCUCAGAGGAAUCAGCAUAUCAUCAACAGAGCCUGAACACAUAGGUCCUGGGUGGGAAUCUGCUAGACAGAUGCAACAGAAAAUGAAAGAAACACUACAGAAUGUACGUACCAGGUUGGAAAUUCUGGAGAAGGGUCUUGCCACUUCUCUACGGAAUGAUCUUCAGGAGGUGCCCAAGUUAUAUCCAGAAUUUCCACCUAAAGACAUGUCUGAAAAGUCACCAGAGCCUCAGUCCUUUAGUUCACCUCACCAGCAUGCUGAAGUAAAUGGAAACACUUCAACGACAAGCACAGGGUUGGUUCCUGCACCUAGUUCUUUAUCCAUACCAUCUCAAAGUCAUCCAGCAGAAGCACCUCCUGCUUAUACACCUCAGGCUGCUGAGGGCCACUACACUGUAUCCUAUGGAACAGAAUCUGGGGAAUUUUCGUCAGUUGGAGAAGACUUUUACAGGAAUCAUUCCCAGCCACCUCCUCUUGAAACCUUAGGGCUAGAUGCAGAUGAGUUGAUUUUGAUACCAAAUGGAGUACAGAUUUUUUUUGUAAAUCCUGCAGGGGAGGUUAGUGCACCUUCAUAUCCAGGGUACCUUCGAAUUGUGAGGUUCUUGGAUAAUUCUCUUGAUACUGUUCUAAACCGUCCUCCUGGGUUUCUUCAGGUUUGUGACUGGUUAUAUCCUCUAGUUCCUGAUAGAUCUCCAGUUCUUAAAUGUACUGUGGGGGCCUACAUGUUUCCUGAUACCAUGUUACAAGCAUCAGGAUGUUUUGUGGGGGUCGUCUUGUCUUCUGAAUUACCAGAAGAUGAUAGAGAACUCUUUGAGGAUUUACUAAGACAGAUGUCUGACCUUCGGCUUCAGGCCAACUGGAACCGGGCAGAAGGAGAAAAUGAAUUCCAAAUUCCUGGAAGAGCAAGAUGCACCUCUGACCAAUUGAAGGAAGCCAGUGGCACUGAUGUGAGACAUUUGGGUCCUUCAUUGGACCAAGACAAUAAGGAUGUGCGUCAUAAAGGAAAACGGGGGAAAAAAGCCAAAGACACUUCAAGUGAAGAAGUUAAUCUGAGUCACAUUGUACCCUAUGAGCCAGUUUCAGAAGAAAAAGCAAAGGAAUUACCUGAAUGGAGUGAGAAAGUGGCUCAAAAUAUUUUGUCAGGUGCUUCCUGGGUGAGCUGGGGUUUGGUCAAAGGUGCUGAAUUUACUGGCAAAGCAAUCCAGAAAGGCGCUUCUAAACUCCGUGAACGGAUUCAACCAGAAGAAAAACCAGUGGAAGUUAGUCCAGCUGUGACCAGGGGACUUUAUAUAGCAAAGCAGGCUACAGGAGGAGCAGCGAAAGUCAGUCAGUUCCUGGUUGAUGGAGUUUGCACUGUAGCAAAUUGUGUUGGAAAGGAACUAGCUCCACAUGUCAAGAAGCAUGGAAGCAAACUUGUUCCAGAAUCUCUUAAAAAAGACAGAAAUGGAAAGUCUACCUUGGAUGGUGCUAUGGUUGUAGCAGCAAGUAGUGUUCAAGGAUUUUCAACUGUCUGGCAGGGAUUGGAAUGUGCAGCCAAAUGUAUUGUUAAUAAUGUUUCAGCAGAAACUGUACAAACUGUCAGAUACAAAUACGGGCAUACUGCAGGAGAAGCUACACAUGAUGCAGUAGAUUCUGCCAUCAAUGUUGGUGUAACUGCCUAUAAUAUUGAUAACAUUGGUAUCAAAGCAAUGGUGAAGAAAACUGCAAAAGAAACAGGACAGACACUCCUGGAAGACUAUAAAAUAGUUGAUAAUUCUAAGGGGAGUAAUCAAGAAGGAAGAGCAAAUGUAAACAUGAAAAGGGAGACGGGUGAGCAGACAAAGGACCUAGAGAAGAGUGAGGCAAAGAAGAAAGAGAAAUGAUGGAAGUGCUGUGAAUCACCUAUACCAAAGCCUUACAAGGGAUAUAGUGCAACUAUCAAUGCUUGAAAUAAGACACAAGAUAGCGGAACUGGAAGCCAAACUCAAUACUGAUGAUGAAGGUGGUGAAUGGAAAGUUCGUUAUGAGACACAACUGGAACUGAAUGAACAACUAGAAAAGCAAAUUGUUUCUCUAGAAGAGAAAAUGGAAAAAAAUCCCUGGAAAUCCUUCAGAUAGAUUGUCUUCUAUCCGUGUCUAUGAACAAAUGCCAGUG